rnacentral:rRNA from 1 species
CUCCCAAACCCCUGUGAACAUACCUUAAUGUUGCCUCGGCGGAUCAGCCCGCGCCCCGUAAAACGGGACGGCCCGCCAGAGGACCCAAACUCUAAUGUUUCUUAUUGUAACUUCUGAGUAAAACAAACAAAUAAAUCAAAACUUUCAACAACGGAUCUCUUGGUUCUGGCAUCGAUGAAGAACGCAGCAAAAUGCGAUAAGUAAUGUGAAUUGCAGAAUUCAGUGAAUCAUCGAAUCUUUGAACGCACAUUGCGCCCGCUGGUAUUCCGGCGGGCAUGCCUGUUCGAGCGUCAUUUCAACCCUCAAGCCCUCGGGUUUGGUGUUGGGGAUCGGCUCUGCCUUCUGGCGGUGCCGCCCCCGAAAUACAUUGGCGGUCUCGCUGCAGCCUCCAUUGCGUAGUAGCUAACACCUCGCAACUGGAACGCGGCGCGGCCAUGCCGUAAAACCCCAACUUCUGAAUGUUGACCUCGGAUCAGGUAGGAAUACCCGCUGAACUUAAGCAUAUCAAUAAGCGGAGGAAAAGAAACCAACAGGGAUUGCCCUAGUAACGGCGAGUGAAGCGGCAACAGCUCAAAUUUGAAAUCUGGCUUUCGGGCCCGAGUUGUAAUUUGUAGAGGAUACUUUUGAUGCGGUGCCUUCCGAGUUCCCUGGAACGGGACGCCAUAGAGGGUGAGAGCCCCGUCUGGUUGGAUGCCAAAUCUCUGUAAAGUUCCUUCGACGAGUCGAGUAGUUUGGGAAUGCUGCUCUAAAUGGGAGGUAUAUGUCUUCUAAAGCUAAAUAUUGGCCAGAGACCGAUAGCGCACAAGUAGAGUGAUCGAAAGAUGAAAAGCACUUUGAAAAGAGAGUUAAAAAGUACGUGAAAUUGUUGAAAGGGAAGCGUUUAUGACCAGACUUGGACUUGGUUAAUCAUCUGGGGUUCUCCCCAGUGCACUUUUCCAGUUCAGGCCAGCAUCAGUUUUCGCCGGGGGAUAAAGGCUUCGGGAAUGUAGCUCUCUUCGGGGAGUGUUAUAGCCCGUUGUGUAAUACCCUGGUGGAGACUGAGGUUCGCGCU